rnacentral:rRNA from 1 species
UACGGAGGAGGCAAGCGUUAUCCGGAAUGAUUGGGCGUAAAGCGUCUGCAGGUGGCAGUUCAAGUCUGCUGUCAAAGACCGGGGCUUAACUUCGGAAAGGCAGUGGAAACUGAACAGCUAGAGUAUGGUAGGGGCAGAGGGAAUUCCUGGUGUAGCGGUGAAAUGCGUAGAGAUCAGGAAGAACAUCGGUGGCGAAGGCGCUCUGCUGGACCAUAACUGACACUCAGGGACGAAAGCUAGGGGAGCGAAUGGG